GAUGAACGCUGGCGGCGUGCCUAAUACAUGCAAGUCGAGCGAAUGGAUUAAGAGCUUGCUCUUAUGAAGUUAGCGGCGGACGGGUGAGUAACACGUGGGUAACCUGCCCAUAAGACUGGGAUAACUCCGGGAAUCCGGGGCUAAUACCGGAUAACAUUUUGAACCGCAUGGUUCGAAAUUGAAAGGCGGCUUCGGCUGUCACUUAUGGAUGGACCCGCGUCGCAUUAGCUAGUUGGUGAGGUAACGGCUCACCAAGGCAACGAUGCGUAGCCGACCUGAGAGGGUGAUCGGCCAAACUGGGACUGAGACACGGCCCAGACUCCUACGGGAGGCAGCAGUAGGGAAUCUUCCGCAAUGGACGAAAGUCUGACGGAGCAACGCCGCGUGAGUGAUGAAGGCUUUCGGGUCGUAAAACUCUGUUGUUAGGGAAGAACAAGUGCUAGUUGAAUAAGCUGACACCUUGACGGUACCUAACCAGAAAGCCACGGCUAACUACGUGCCAGCCGCCGCGGUAA
rnacentral:rRNA from 1 species